CCUACGGGAUGCAGCAGUGGGGAAUAUUGCACAAUGGGCGCAAGCCUGAUGCAGCCAUGCCGCGUGUAUGAAGAAGGCCUUCGGGUUGUAAAGUACUUUCAGCGGGGAGGAAGGUGUUGUGGUUAAUAACCACAGCAAUUGACGUUACCCGCAGAAGAAGCACCGGCUAACUCCGUGCCAGCAGCCGCGGUAAUACGGAGGGUGCAAGCGUUAAUCGGAAUUACUGGGCGUAAAGCGCACGCAGGCGGUUUGUUAAGUCAGAUGUGAAAUCCCCGGGCUCAACCUGGGAACUGCAUCUGAUACUGGCAAGCUUGAGUCUCGUAGAGGGGGGUAGAAUUCCAGGUGUAGCGGUGAAAUGCGUAGAGAUCUGGAGGAAUACCGGUGGCGAAGGCGGCCCCCUGGACGAAGACUGACGCUCAGGUGCGAAAGCGUGGGGAGCAAACAGGAUUAGAUACCCGCGUAGUC
rnacentral:rRNA from 1 species